rnacentral:rRNA from 1 species
GAUGAACGCUGGCGGCGUGCCUAAUACAUGCAAGUCGAGCGAACAGACGAGGAGCUUGCUCCUCUGACGUUAGCGGCGGACGGGUGAGUAACACGUGGAUAACCUACCUAUAAGACUGGGAUAACUUCGGGAAACCGGAGCUAAUACCGGAUAAUAUAUUGAACCGCAUGGUUCAAUAGUGAAAGACGGUUUUGCUGUCACUUAUAGAUGGAUCCGCGCCGCAUUAGCUAGUUGGUAAGGUAACGGCUUACCAAGGCAACGAUGCGUAGCCGACCUGAGAGGGUGAUCGGCCACACUGGAACUGAGACACGGUCAAGACUCCUACGAGAGGCAGCAGUAGGGAAUCUUCCGCAAUGGGCGAAAGCCUGACGGAGCAACGCCGCGUGAGUGAUGAAGGUCUUCGGAUCGUAAAACUCUGUUAUUAGGGAAGAACAAAUGUGUAAGUAACUAUGCACGUCUUGACGGUACCUAAUCAGAAAGCCACGGCUAACUACGUG